CAAGAUGAUGAAAUGCACUGGGCUCUGAACAUUUUAAUAAUGUGGAAAUGCAUUUGCCUAGAAAGCAUUGGCUGAUUA